AGGUGGGGGAGUGCGAUAUGUGCUCGUCUUCACCCCCGAAGCCGUCCCGCGCGAGUCAUGCGAGACAUUUGUCCGAGACACGUUACAUAGAUGCGUUUUGCCGAUGUGCUGAACUGCGGAUUCUUUUUAAAGACCUCGAAGCUUUCUAAGCAACGUCGUAAAAAUGUUUGAAAGGAACUUAGAACCUCCGCACAAGACAUCCGUAACAUGUUACGUUACGUUAAGUACUGACAAUACAAUGAUCUGUAAAAUUAAACUUAAGGCACAAAGAAAUCCGUAAACUUAACAUGUUACGAAUGUUCUUGUGCGGAGGCUCUUACGGGACAGUAAUAUGUUUUUUUCAGAUUUCUUCAAAGUGUUUUCAAGAUACCUUUCAGAAGUUUCCGCUGACUGGGACAUGCACACGUUGCAGUAAACGCGCCCACUCGGUCAAGCUUCUUCAGAAGUUGGGACUGAAGAUUGAACGAGCGUGGGUGCUUUGUGAUGAUAAGUAACGUUGCACUGAGAGAAGAGUAUGGUUGAUCUAACUAAAAUCACAGUUACUUCUGGCUUCCGUACUUAUUGGUUAUGCUAACAUGAAAACAGUCAUAUGCGUGUCGGAUUAUUAUCGCUAACUUUGUAGUAAAAUUGUAAUAAAAAAGAUGUGGAGUUUCCUUAACCACAAUUUUUGUGAUUACUUUUCUAUGUGGCUGUAUUUACAAAUGUUCUUUUCUUAAUGCAACAGGAAACAAAUCGUUCGUACGAUGCAACAGCUACAUUGAUAUCUCAGAGGGAUCCUGAUUCCGGGAAAGACUUGGAAGUUGAGUGGGAACGCGGACAUCAUCCUCGUUGGGGCGUAGAAACGUUGCGGAGGAAAUCCCGCACGCUAUUCUGCGACUUAUCAUCGUCGCACUCGGACGGACGGACGGACGGAGAAGAAGGAGCAGAAGGAGGAGGUGGUGGUCCAAGGAAAUCGGUUGGGAAAACUACAAGGAGCCAACAGCGUGAAAAACGGCAAAAGACCAACCAAUGCGGAUCUAAUGUUGAAAACAAGAAAAAUAAAUGCUGAACACAGAGUUGCGUUACAGAAAGGAGUGAGUUGCCCACAAAAAGCGAAGAAAAAGAAGAAGAAACAGACAAAAGAAGAAGCAGAAAAGGACAAGAUUUGUUCUUUUGAGCCGUAGGUUACAGUAAUCCAAAAUUCCGGCAAUAAGUUACACAAACCCGUCUCUAAUGAGGAGACGUUUGUUCGCACAUUUCAUACGCUCGUUCGUUUCAAUGACGCACGUUUUCGCGCUGGAAAGUAUCGCGUCAAAAUACUUCUCGUCGCGUUGCGUCAGCUCGUCGACGCGCGAAUCGGAUACGCGCUCGGCGGUUGGCUCGUCGAAAAACGUGUUUAUCGGUUAAUUGGCAUUAUUCUUGUCGGAUGGUCGGUAACGGCCUGCCAAUUGGCACGGUCGUUAAUCGGUCGGCGAUAUAUAGGGCAGCCAAGCGACACUGUCGCGGCUCGCACGUGCGAACGUGGACGGACUGCGGCCUUGACGACGACGACGCUUGACUUCCGCUUCCGCGAUCUCGUUAUCCUCUUCGUCGCGGCGAAUGUUGUCGAGGCGACUAAUGUACGUGCGCAAGAAAGAGAGAGAGAGAGAGAGAAAGAAAGAACGAGGCUUCGACUUAUGAAUUGACAGGCACUCGUUCUUCUCGCUCCACGCACGAGCGUCACGUUUGUCGCGAAUUCCGCUUCGGUAGUUUCGCGAGAAAUAAGAAACAAUAGAGUGGAAACACUACGAGAGACGAAGCCGCGCGGAGUCCGUUUGAAGAUCCAAAAAAGAAUCCGCGCGUGUGCGAGAAGCAGCAGUUGACUUUCACCUAAGCGCACACAACGAGAAAAGACGAGGAGGGAACGAGAAGUUUUUAUUCUUUUUUAUUUCGAUUUUUAUUUUCAGAAUUUUCACGGAGGUUUUAUGUUAAUCCAGUCGCGUCGAUGGCGCUUGCGAUAAGCACGUUGCGCUGAAACCACGGCGAGAACGCGUCUCCCCCAUGACUCAGGUCGGUGACUGUUCGCGGGCGGGCGAGAUGACGUUGCGAGCGGUUUCGUGCGAGACCAACGGAAGAGCCGCCGUGAUCCGGAUGGAAUAUUAUGAAAAUGACGGAGGUGUGCGCGCGUGGAAACGCGAGGGAGGAAGAAAUCGCGUUACGUGCCGCGAGGGCGCGACGCGGAAAAAAGCUCUCAAAUCUCUUCUCUUUCUCUCCCGCUCUCAUUCUCCCUCUCGUCGAGCUUUGACUUGACGCUCGCCGCCGCCAACGACGACGACGACAGCAGCAGCAGCAACAGCAGCAGCAGCAGUAGCAACGACGCAACUCCGAUUGCAAAAAAGCUCUCGCCCUCCCGGAAAGCUUCGUUUCUCAGUGAUAUCUCUCUCUUUGCCCCUUUUCGCGCAACUCGACGCGCGUGAUUACGCACGCAGCUAUACAUUGACGCUCGCGCAAGCAAAGAUUCGUAAGCAUUUCUUCGCGCGUAUCCGCGCCUGGAGAACGAAGGAAAACUACUCGUUCAGGAUAGCGCCGAGGCGCUGUUACAAGCGAAGUCAAGAAAAAGGUACGCGACUUAUUUCACGUCCCCUAUUUCCCUUAAUAUUCGCCGGGUUAGGGUACCGAAGACGAAAGAGAGAGAGAGAGAAGCAGAGACACGGCUGGUUACUUUUCAUCCGUCAAGUCCAUCGGAGCGACGGGCUGCGGAAAGAGCCUCUGGUACGGGUCGAAUCGAAGCAAGGAAUGAGAGCGAGACGAUAAGGUGAUCGUCGUCGUCGUCAUCAUGGAGGGUGGAGGAAGAAAACAGGCAGGAGAAGAAGAAAGAGGAGAGCGGAGGAAUAGGAGGAGAAGGAGGAGGAGGAGGAGUAGCUCGGUGGUGUACCGUCGCAACGCAACGCGACGCGACGCGACGCCGCGCGCCGUAACCGGCCCUGCUUGCUCGAGGUUCUACUUGAUUGCCAAGGCGUCUUAACCUCGGCCUCGUAGCAGCAACGGCAGCCAGCAUCAGCAGCAGCAGUGGCGACGACGACGACGGCGGCGGCACUAGCAGUCUCAGCAACCAACAACGGCGUCCGCGCGGACCGCUCGACUGAAGCUCCGACGACGCGAUAGUCACCUAUAAGAAUCGCGCUCGACGCGGCGUAGCCAACCUGUGAGCAUAAAAAUACGCGGCGACGCCCCGGCUCGAAUAAAGAGGCGUCGUCGAUCGGUGAAAAAGGCCAAUCCGACCGAAAGAACGCCGGCUCGCCGGCCAAUCUCACGCGCGCGCUUUAGUACCCGACGACAGCUGGUCGUCGAGUCCGCGCGGACACUGUGUGCACGUCGGACGUAUCUCUACCUAUGGACCUACCUACCUACCUACCUACCUACCUUACCUACCUUACCUACCUAUCUACCUACCUAUCAACCUACCUAUCUACCAACCUACCUACCUACCUACCUACCUACCUACCUACCUACCUACCAACCUACCUACCUACCAAUCUACCUACCAACCUACCUACCUACCUACCUACCUAUCUACCAACCUACCUUACCUACAUCUACCUAGCUAUCUCUAUAACUUUGCUACCUAUCUACCUACUUAUUUAUUAACCUAGCUGUCUAUCUAUAUAUCUACCUAUCAACCAACCUACAUCUACCUAACUUCUAUCUACGUCUGCCUAUUCAUACAUAUAUCUACGUAUCUGCAUCUACUUACUACAUUUAUCUACCUACUUAUAUAUACUUGUGUCUACCUAUUUACACCUUAUCUACUUACUUACCCAGACAGCAUAAAAUGUUUCAGAAUUAUCUUGAAUGUGACUAGAAUGUCUUCGAUAUCGUAGAAUGUAUCAGAAUAUCUUAAAACGCAUUCUGAGGAUGUUCAGAAUAAUCUCAAGGUGUUCUGUUAUUUGGUAUUAUCUAUACUGAGAAAAAAUGCUUGAUAUUUGUAUAACUAUAAUCACGUAGAGAAAUAAUUACUAAAAGUUAUAGUCAAAAGAAUUUUUUUUCUUUUAUUAAAUUCUACUAUAGUAUUAAUGAUAAUAUAACCUUAUGUAUAUAUUACUAUUACUACUUUCGUAUUAAGACAACCAAAAGAAUACUUAUAAUUUUAAUUAGAUGAAGGAUUUUUUUCUCAGUGUGCCUAAUUAUCUUUUUUUCUUAUGCUUGUCUACAUGCUUCUUUUCGCGAUAGCACGUACGUAAAGUGUGUACGUAUAUGUGGACGUAUGUGGUGUACGCACAGUGAUCGAGGGUACAUUUCGGAAAGAGAGAAAAAGAGCGAGUAGCAAAGAUAGAAGAACAUAGGGUUGUAUUCCCGUCGGUCUCUCCUGUUCCGGGCACUGUAAAUGACGACGAAGAUGACGAUGGCUGUUCCAGCGGCAGCGGGAACGUCGUCUUCGUCGCGCAGCCGGCGCGAAAAAACGCCAAGUCGUAGCGGGAGAUGCCGUUGUCGUCGCGUAGGUCGUCGUCGUCGUGUCGUCGUGUUGGUCUGUGACCAAUUAAUGCCGACGCCUUUUCUUUUUCCAGAUAUCUCGAAAUAGUUGGACGAUGUUCGUACUCGAUAGCCGACGACGAGUCGGAGAAACAUUCGGUCAAGCAUGUAACGAUCGCCUCUUCAUCCUCUGCUGGUCUUCUUUCCGCUCUUUCCCCCUCUCCUCUGCUGGUCGGAAAAGAGAUAUUACGUGACGUUACAUUGUAUCUCGUCUGGGAAAAAGAGGAAAUGAUCCCGACCGUAACCUGAACUCGACGACCGCCUGGUCGUUUCAGUUCAUAUUGCGCGCGAAUAUGUAGUCGCCGUGUCAGGUCGCCACGUAUAUCGCUCGAUCGCGCGCUAAUAUCGCCGACGAAUUAAAGACUGCUUAUCUACCCGAUGUAGCUCAAUCGAUCGCGAUCGAAUCGCUCGUUCGGCAUAUAUAAGAAUCAUAGAGUUCCGAGUAAGACGCAGGGAUAACGAGAUAUCUUCUACGGAAAUUCAAUCACUUCGUUCCUCGGCGUAAGAACGAACGCUGUAAACACACUGCGGGGAUCAUCGAUCGGAGAUUUUUCCCAAGAUCAGUCCGGCGAUCUGGAUUGAAUCGUCGCGAAAACCCGUGCUCGAGAGAGAUCCGUUACUGUCAAUCGCGCGCGGCCGAUCGAAAUCGAAUUUACGGACGGCUCGCUAACUCGCUCGUUCACUCGAGCCGAAUGAAAUUCCAGCGAUAUCGCCCCAAGUCGCUUCGAGGCAAACGAGCUAAAAAUUGCGAGCUGUCCCCUUUCUACCGCGUUACGGUUCUCGAUUAUGAUGUCGAUAAUGACAGUUGGCGCACUCGGGCUCGCGAACGAUUAUGAAAAUGCAAUCGAGGAUAUCCAGUUCUCCUCCAGCGCGGAGGAGGCGAACCCAACCAACCAGCAAGCGAGCGAGCAAGCGGCUGGAUACCGAUGCUGGAGUCCGAUUUCUUUCCGACGGGCGUGAUAGCCAGUCGCGCGUGUAACUAACGGCUGCACUCUCGCCUUUUACAGAUGUUACACGCCACGGCGCCGCGUGAUUACAUCGCCGCGAUCUACGAUCCGAUGUCGAAUUAGCGAUAAGUAAAAGGAAAUCGAUGAGACCGAACACAAUCGACCGAGUCGUAACGAUGAGUCAUACUUGAAAUAUACUUCCGUUUCUCAUUUACCGUUCGCUCUGCGUGUUCUCCGACUUGUCAAUCAGUUGAGUCACGCCGUUCACAAAGAUAUCUUCCUCAUUGGCAUUUCACGUGCGUUAAUUUCGAUCGUUGAGCCGCACUUACCGUAUUUUUUCUCGUUGCCUCGGACCAAUUUCCUCGGCGCGGUAUCCUUGGGGUUUCAGUCUCCAACGAUCUUAUCGCUCGGGACACUCGAAGGGAGAAAAAAGACGGAGAGACAGAGGAAAAGGGAUACACAAUUUUAUUUUAUUAAUAUUUCCUUUCCUCGUACAACUGUUGGUGGACAUUAGAACGAUUAACUUUUACUUCCACGUACGCUAUGUUUACCAUAGUCGCGCCUAGUCAAUACGUAUAGAUUUGCCAGCGAUUCGCUCGUCGUAUAGAAAGACUCCGUCCCGUAAACAGCCCGGGGGCAUCGUUCAUCGGACGUCGAAAAUUAAUUGUCUAUACAAAAUAUCCGACAAGAUUCCGGUGAGGCUCACAUACGCGCAUAACGUCGUACUUCGAUAAAGUGUCGCGUUAACGCAAAGUGUUCUCCCAAAUGCGAUUCUACGGAAAAAGGUGUGUAUGUGUGUGUGUGUGUGUGUGUGUGUGUGUGUGUGUGUGUGUAUGUGUGAGAGAGAGAGAGAGAAAGACAGAUCGAAUUCAGCCUAUUUUAUCCUUUAUUUUAGGAGUCAUCCCGAGUCGUCUGUUGCAUAUAUACGCUGCAACCCGGAACGGCCAAUUUGAGAAAAUGAAAGAGAAAUUACAAAGAAAA